CAGGCCCUAGGACCCUUUUGGGAUGAAUUAUAAAAGAAGGAAUGGUUCAGCCACCGGUCACUUUCUUGCUGCACAAUGUAGUGAACAACAAGGAGAGGAAGAAGAAGAGGAGAAGAGAGCUGCGAUUUGGAGCUGCUGCACUUAAAGGAACCUAAAUUACCUAGCAAGGAUAUGCGGUGACGGGAAUUCAGUCAUAACUAUCGGAUUUCGGGUUUGAGAUGGUGGAACAGAUGCUGAGGCACAGUUGGACUUUGGCAAUGGUUGUGAGGCAUGUCUCUACGAGACACCAGGAUGCUGAUGGACAUCACUUCUGUUAUUUCAAAUGUUUCUUUUGAUGUAUAAAUUUAUGAGAUGUGUAGUAAGAAAUAUUGUAAUUUACAAUUGCUUUAGACACAUAAAUUGUAUAAUGUAAUUUAUCAUUUUAGCACAUCACUAGUGAUAUUUGUAUGAUUUUA